rnacentral:rRNA from 1 species
AUGCCUUCAUGGAACAAUGAGGAAACGAGCUCGGAGGAGGACUGCCAGGUCGUCAGCAUGGACAUGGGACUUAUGAACUGUGGAAGGGUACUUGACAAGGAGAAGUUUGAGAAGGAGUUGGCCAAGCUUAAGAUUGAACAUGAAAGGGAGUUGGCCAAGCUUAAGGCUGAAAAUGACAAGCUUUGCAUUGAGUACACCAAGCUUGUUGAUGAUGUAUCCAAGAUGUUUGAUUGGCAGGGUGGUAGGGUGGACAGGAAGGUGUACCAGAAACAAGUGGAGGAGGAAGAACUUGAGAAGAAGAAGAAGGAGAUAGAGGAGAAAGCUAUGCUGGAGUUGCAGAUGGAAAAGCUCAAACUUGCAAAAGAAGAUGUUCUUAAGAAGGAGAAGGCAAAGCUUGAGCUUGUUGUUGCUGAACUGCUGAAAGAAGGGUAUGGCAGCAAGGAUAAGUUAGAGCAAAUCAAGGCCAUCCUUGAGUCUUGA